GCUCAGAUAUAUAACUAAUGCUUAACCUUGACUUGUUGCCUUAACAAUGAGUAUAAUUCCAACUGUAUAGUGAAGCUCUCCUUUCAUCUGCCUGGCUAAAUGCUGGUCUCCUAAGGGCAGCCCCCUCAUCCAGGUGUGUUCCAGGUGUGUGUACUGAACCGUCAGUAAAUGACACUGUCAAAGUUGGAGUUAACUCUUUAUUAGCAAAAACACAAUCUUCACAUAACUUGGCUGAGUGUCAGGCCUAAUGAGCACAGCAGCAUAUCCCCAGUAGGUCUGGCCCCAUGAAUCAGUUGCUGAAACUGGAAGUCCCCAUCUCCUCACGGCUGUCUUAAGUUCCC